rnacentral:rRNA from 1 species
CAGAUUGAACGCUGGCGGCAGGCUUAACACAUGCAAUCGAGCGGUAGCACAGGGGAGCUUGCUCCCCGGGUGACGAGCGGCGGACGGGUGAGUAAUGUCUGGGAAACUGCCUGAUGGAGGGGGAUAACUACUGGAAACGGUAGCUAAUACCACAUAACGUCGCAAGACCAAAGAGGGGGACCUUCGGGCCUCUUGCCAUCAGAUGUGCCCAGAUGGGAUUAGCUAGUAGGUGGGGUAAUGGCUCACCUAGGCGACGAUCCCUAGCUGGUCUGAGAGGAUGACCAGCCACACUGGAACUGAGACACGGUCCAGACUCCUACGGGAGGCGGCAGUGGGGAAUAUUGCACAAUGGGCGCAAGCCUGAUGCAGCCAUGCCGCGUGUGUGAAGAAGGCCUUCGGGUUGUAAAGCACUUUCAGCGAGGAGGAAGGUGGUGAACUUAGUACGUUCAUCAAUUGACGUUACUCGCAGAAGAAGCACCGGCUAACUCCGUGCCAGCAGCCGCGGUAAUACGGAGGGUGCAAGCGUUAAUCGGAAUUACUGGGCGUAAAGCGCACGCAGGCGGUUUGUUAAGUCAGAUGUGAAAUCCCCGGGCUCAACCUGGGAACUGCAUUUGAAACUGGCAAGCUAGAGUCUCGUAGAGGGGGGUAGAAUUCCAGGUGUAGCGGUGAAAUGCGUAGAGAUCUGGAGGAAUACCGGUGGCGAAAGCGGCCCCCUGGACGAAGACUGACGCUCAAGUGCGAAAGCGUGGGGAGCAAACCAGAUAGAUACCCUGGUAGUCCACGCUGUAAACCAUGUC